rnacentral:piRNA from 1 species
UCUGAGGUCAAAGAAGUUUCCCGCUGGAACAU